GGAGUUGUAGCUCAGUGGUAGAGCACUUGCCUCUUAUGCAUGAUGCCCUAGUUUUAAGCCCAAGUAUUGCCC
rnacentral:tRNA from 1 species